UGAGUAACACGUAUCCAACCUGCCGUCUACUCUUGGACAGCCUUCUGAAAGGAAGAUUAAUACAAGAUGGCAUCAUGAGUCCACAUGUUCACAUGAUUAAAGGUAUUCCGGUAGACGAUGGGGAUGCGUUCCAUUGAUAGUAGGCGGGGUAACGGCCCACCUAGUCUUCGAUGGAUGGGGUUCUGAGAGGAAGGUCCCCCACAUUGGAACUGAGACACGGUCCAA
rnacentral:rRNA from 1 species